UUUGAAAGGGCAGCGUAACCUAGUUGCCUAAUGGGCUGGGAAAAACCUAGAUUACUACUCACUGAAUAACCAUUAAGCAUCUUUUAUGGUAAUUUUCAUUUUGGGUGGAGUAAAGAGUAAUUAGAGUGGUAAUAAGUUAGAGAGAGAGAAUUAGUGAAGGGAGAGGUGUUGCAUUGCGUGUAAACCCUUGGGCAGAAGAAUUCUGGUGAGUUGGGGCUGAUUACAGAGAGGGAGUGAAAAGGGAAAACCAUCGUUGGAGAGGGAGCAAAGGCAAGAAAGCUUUUGGAUUAGAGACACACACACAAAUUCGAAUUUGAAGCGAAUUCCAGGAGCAGAUGUUGAUACAGGUGAUGCUGGGGACGCUCAGGCGACGGAGUGAGGGCUAGUUGGGAUUAAGCUAGGAUUUUAUUUAAGUUAUCAUUUAUGUUUUUGGAUUUUUUUGGAAAUUGUAAAGUUUUAAAUACUACGAUUUUUAAUAACUGUGGCGCGAUGUUUAAAUAUUUUAAAUUUUCCCGCUUUUUUGGAAAAAUAAUAUUGUGACGUUUUAUUUUA